CCCCAAUUUGGACCAACUUGAAAACUGGGCCCAUAAUCAAAAAUCUAAAUACAUGUUUAGAUUCAGCAUAUCAAAGAACCCCAUAUAUUCAAUUUUUGUUGAAAUCAAACAAAUUUAAUUUUGGACCCCAACUUGGACCAACUUGAAAACUGGGCCCAUAAUCAAAAAUCUAAACACAUGUUUAGAUUCAGCAUAUCAAAGAACCCCAAGAAUUCAAUUUUUGUUAAAAUCAAACUAAGUUUAAUUUUGGACCCUUUUGACCACAAUGUGGACAAAGUUGAUAACGGGGCCCAAAAAUCAAAAAUCUAAAUACAUGGUUAGAUUCAGCAUAUCAAAGAACCCCAUAUAUUCAAUUUUUGUUGAAAUCUAACAAAGUUUAAUUUUGGACCCUUUUGACCUCAAUAUGAACCAAUUUGAUAGCGGGGUCCACAAAUAGAAAAUCUAAAUACAUGGUUAGAUUCAGCAUAUCAAAGAACCCCAUAUAUUCAAUUUUUGCUGAAAUCAAACAAAAAAAGUUUAAUUUUGGACCCCAAUUUGGACCAACUUGAAAACUGGGCCAAAAAUCAAAAUACAUGUUUAGAUUCAGCAUAUCAAAGAACCCCAUAUAUUCAAUUUUUGUUAAAAUCAAACAAAGUUUAAUUUUGGACCCUUUGGACCUUAAUGUAGACCAAUUUGAAAACUGGACCCAAAAUUAAAAAUCUAAAUACACAGUUAGAUUCGGCAUAACAAAUAAAUAAAUGUGGUCAAAGAUUUUACAAA